rnacentral:lncRNA from 1 species
UGCAGGAUCUGGUACCAUGUUCGUAAUAUUUCUCACUAUCAGAAAACAGUUUAAGCUAGCAGAGCAUUAUUGUGCUAACAACUUGAAUAGACCACAUAGCAAAUUUCUCACAAGUACUACAAGAUUACUCAAUGUAUUAAUUAACAUCGGUUAAGUACGAACUGAACUUGUUAACUAAAAAGGCAAAAUAUACCACUGUACACAGAUUAGAAAACUAAAUUUCAACCUUAAAUAGGAAUUUCUUCAACAUAUAGAAGUGCUUUGCACUGACAUAAAGAUGCAUAAAGUCACAAAUUCAGAACUAAGAAUGAAAUAAAUUUAUUUGUAACCCGGUAACACAUGGUAAUAAUUUGACACAACAACUAGAUUGAGUAGGGAAGAGGAGAAAGAGGGCAUGGAUGGAGAGGGAGUCACCUCUGCACGGCGAGGGAGGCAGAUAUGGAAGUCGCCGACUAGGGAGGCGGAUCUGGAUGUCUCCAGCAAGGAGGGUGGCCAUGAACGACAGAGGCAGGGGGCACUCGAUGGUGAGGUGGGCACCUCUAGAUUUGGAGGGAGGCGGCAGACCAAAACUAGAAGGCCGAUAUGGGGGGAGUGGCGGUGUUGGACGGUGGAGGUAGACCGAUCGUGGGAGUGGGACUAGUAGCACAAUGGGGGCACUACUUGAUCAUGUUUUAGGUAUUUUGACCCAACCCUCCCGAUGACAGCGCACGUUAUGCGAAAAACACCUCGGGAAGCAAAUAUCAGUGUGCUUCUCACUUCCCAAAUGAAAAAAUCACGUGCCCCGGAAGUGAAAAAAUCACGUGCCCCGGAAGCGAAAUAUCUUCGGGUCCCUCGUAGGUAUCUUCCUGAUAGCCAUGUACACUGUCUUGAAUUUGUGUAAAGUGAUUUGUGACCUGGAUAUAGUACCGACGCAAAUGUUCCAUUCCGUUCCUGAAGGUUAUUAUGAAGAACCUCACGAACAUACCACCUUUCGCCUUGGCUGAACAUCCACGGCACGAACAGGCACACAUUCCUGAAGGAGACUUCGGGGCCAUCACAAACGUGCCUAAUCAUCACCAAAAAGUUAGUUUUGGGUAGUGAAUUUGGGUUGGUCAAAUAAUCUCUGGUAAAAUCAUCUUUAGAUUAUUAGCAAGCAUCUUCGGAAUUAAGUCUACUAUCGUGUCAUUGUACCCCCUUUGUUAUUUGCCUCGAGCUUGUCACGUUGGGGACUUCUUGUGUAAUCUUUUGACCCUUCAAAAGCCAAUAUUUCUUGUAGAAAAUUGCAUGCAAACCAUCCAGGCCUGCGACUUUGAGAUGUGAAAAUAGUGCGCAUCACUUCAUCCUCCAUAAGUGAAUCAGUUGUUCAUUUAAUUCUUUAGAAACUAACAGGAGAAUGUUUUCAAGUAAACAAACAUCUAUUUUCAGAUAGUGAGAAAUGUUGCGAAGAAGGUACUAGAUGCUACACAUCAAUGCAGAAGAACAUGUUCAAAAUUAUAUUACCAACCAUUUCCAAACUCUAUAAUGCUCCAGUGCUUUUUGGCUCUAAACUAUUUUCUCAUUGCGAUAGUGUUCGAAACUUAGUUCAUAGAUGUGGUUAAUAUCAUUUAAUUGAUCAAGAGUCCAUUUGGAGAUAUUUUUGUUACAUUCAAAUUAUCGACCCUACUAGAAUAAGGGUCAUGCAUCAUUUAUAUAAUACUUUGUUUACCAAUGACCCUAUCCACUAUAAUUUGUUAAACCAUACUGACCCUACCAUGUUUAUUUUUGGAAGUGCGCGAUCACUCAAUACUUUCGAGAUUCCAAGGAGUGAGAUCAGCGACUGCAUAGUGGAAGAUGUUGCACAAAGACCGUCCAGGGUUACAUUCCUCGAUGUAAGCAGUUGCACCAAGAUUGGUGCCCGUGCUCUGGAUGCAUUUGGCAAGAAAUAGAAAUCCCUCGUCAGACAUCGGCAAGUCAUGCACACCAUAGAUGUCGCUGGGAAGGUGUGCCAGAAUCACGAGGCCCAUGCUAUUGUAAGCAACAUGCCAAAGCUCUGCCACCUUGAGAUAGGAUACAUGCUCAUUAAGACUAUGGUUGUCGUCAAGAUCGCCUUCCAGCGCCUUGACCUCAAGUUCUUAGAUCUGUGUGGUUGCUGGGACGUUGACGAUACGCUCUUGCAACAGAAUAGUCCUUGGCUGAAAAGCAUCGGCCCCCGCAUGGGCGACUGCUAUGAGAACCACAUCUGCGAGGAGUGCACUGAUGACUCGGAUGAUGAAUACUCAUGACGUCCAUGAACUUUUGCAUGAGUAGAUGUAGUCAUAAUCCGAGUCAUCGGUGCAAUCCUCCCUAAAGCGAUUCUGAUAGCAGUCACCACACAGCGGCCGAUGGUUUUCAGCCCAGGAAACUAUCUUGCAAGAGCUUAUCUUCGACGUCCCGAUAACCGCACAAAUCUUAGAACUUGUGGUCAUGGCACUCAGAGGCGAUCUUCUAAAUUACCUUAGUCUUAAUGAGCAUGUUUCCAAUCUAGAGGUGGUGGAGCUUUGGAAUAUUGCUGGCAGUAGCAUGGGCGUCCUCAUUCUGGCAAACCUUCGCAACGACAUCUAGAGGUUGCAUGACUCACCGAAGUCUGACAAGGGUUUUGCAGUUCUUGCCAAAUGGCUACAUAGCACGGGCGCCAAUCUUGGUGUAGCUGCAUACGUCCAGGAAUGUUACCUUGGGAACUCUUCGUGCAAGAUCUUCUUCUAUGCAGUCACUGAUCUCGCUCCUCGGAAUCUUCAAAGUAUUGGGAGAUUGUGCACCGGCAAAAGGAAACACUAUAGAGUCAAUAACGUUUAAAAAAAUGUUGAUAGGGUCAUCAGUAAACAAAGUAUUAUAUAUAUAUGAUGCAUAUACCUUGUUCUAGUAGCGUCCAUAAUUUGAAUGUAACAAGAAUAUUACCAAAUAGACACAUCAUGCUCAAUUAAGUGUUAUUAACUGCGGCUAUGAAAUGAGUUUCUAACAUCAUACCAAUCAGCACAUAGAUCAAAGCCGGGAAGCACUAGAGCAUUGUAGAGUUCGGAAAGCGUUGGUAAUAUAAUUUUGAAUAUGUUCUUCUGCACAGAUGUGAAGGAUCUGGUACCAUGUUCGUAAUAUUUCUCACUAUCAGAAAACAAAUUAAGCCAGCGGAGCAUUAUUGUGCUAGCAACUUGCAUAGACCACACAACAAGUUUAUCCCAAGUACUACAAGAUUACUCAAUGUCUCAAUCACCAUCGUUUAAGUACAAAAUGAAACUGUUAACUAAAAAGGCAAAAUGUACAACUGUACACAUAUUAGAAAACUAAAUUUCAACCUUAAAUAGCAAUUUCUUCGACAUAUAGAAGUUCUUUGCAUGGACUUUAAGAUGCAUAAAGUCACAAAUUCAGAACUAAGAAUGAAAUAGAUUUAUUUGUAACUCUGCAACACAUGGUAAUUAUUUGACACAACUACUAGAUCGGGUAGGAAUGAGGAGAAAGAGGGCAUGGACGGGGAGGGAGUCAC